UUCAUAAUAAAGUACAUUAAAAAUUUAAAAAAUACACAUUUCUUGUGUUUUUUUAUAAAAGAAAAUCGAAUGUGAAGUUUUUAAUUCCAGUACAGUAGGUAGAUUCAUGAUCCAAAGAAUAUAGAACAAUGCAAUCUAUAAAGAUACAAAAUUGACUACAAAGAUCAAUCGUGAUUACAUUGUUUGUCUAAACAAUUUCUACAAUUAACCGUUAAAAGGUGGUAAUUUUAUCUUAAAAUCGAAACUUAUUUGCAUGGUUUAGGUAAAGGCAUCUCCUCGUUAUUGUAUCACAUAUAGGAGGAUUUAGAGAACAUGCUUCAUUUAGUUCCUUACUGGAUUUAUUUUAUUGAUUUAAUUUACUAAUUGGUCUCUGUAUAUUGUUAAAGGUUUAACAAUAGCUGAGAAAUCUGAAUAUGUAUGAAAUAGCUGAAAAGUAAAAUGUUUAAAAUAUGGCGGAGAAAUAUUUACAUACUUGACUUAGUAACCGCGCUACUUGGUAGGGAUUGAAAUAGUGUUUUUCAAUUCUGUGAGAAAACUUGAUAAAAGAAUUGACAAUGACUACAGGUGGGGUCAAGGACACUGUGGAUAAAAUAAUAAGGACGCACAAGGUUGCUAUUUUUUCUCGACAGGGAUGUCCAUACUGUCUUGGUGCACGGAAUACCAUAAGGAAAUUUACAGGGAAGAGGCUAUCUCAAUCAGAUGUCGCUUUUUAUAAUGUAGAUAAAGAAAACGACUCAAGAGAAAUGCAAAAUUACCUUAAACUGAUUACUGGGGCAUCGUCGGUACCGAUUGUUUUCAUUUACGGAAAGUUCAUUGGUGGUCAUGACAAAUUGAAGUUAAUGUACAGGACUGGUGACCUAGACGAUCUCCUGAAAGCUGGUCCAACAAUUAAACGAUAAAUCUGGAGACUCCAAUGCUGCAAUCGAAAUUAUUAACGAGAGACAAAUAAUAGGGCGCGACUUUCCGAGUGAUUGGAAGUGACUAUGUGCUUUAUUGUGCCGUGUUGAAUUGUCUUAUUCAAAUUGGUCAUAGAGUUUUGGGAAGAUAAAGGGUGUACAUACAAAUAUAUGACGCCAUGUUUGUUAUAUUGUUAGACCAUUGUUCAGUAUAGGCAGGUCUUGAGUAAGAAGCCCUGACGCACCUUAUAAAAUUCUCGGCUUUUUGUUGAAAACAAUUUGUUUAAAUUUCUGUAAUGAAUUUGUCCACCUUCAAAUUCGGAACAAUACAUUUGAAAUUUAGUGUCUUUGAUUAACAAACUACCAACAGUGGAGACUUUCGAGUCAAAUACUAGUUUUGGUCCAUCAUGUAAACGGUUAAGGCUGUUUGUCCUCGGACGUUGUAUCAUCAACUUGAUAUUUCUACCCAUGGGUUCAAUAUGUAUCACAAUAUCAUAAAACUGAUGUGUCAAUGCAUUAUGUAAACGAACUUUGAUAUCUAACGAUAUUUUUAUUAUUUACAUUAUUUGUGAAUAAAAAUUACAUGUAA